UUCGGAAAGCCAAACUCCUUUGAAGGGCUCAGCAUGGCGGUCUGGGCUCUGCUUUUCCUUGCUCUUUCCAGUUACUGCUCUGGUGUCCAUUCUCAGAGUGUGACUCAGGCUUCCUCGGCAUCUGUGUCUCUGGGCCAAACCCUGAAACUCUCCUGCACUAGAAGCAGUAGAGGUAGUUGGGGCAACGACUACAACUGGUACCAACAGAGACCUGGGCAGGCCCCUCGCUUUGUGCACCGUCCAGGCGGCAGCCGGGGAGAAGGGAUCCCGGAUCGGUUCACGGCCUCUUCCUCUGGGAACAAUUUCUACUUAACCAUCACCAACAUCCAGGCUGAAGACGAGGCCGAUUAUUACUGUGGUGAUGGAGAGACUGCUGGUGCUUGGAAGUUCCACAGUGAUACAGUCUAAUGGGGAACUGAUUUGAAAA